rnacentral:miRNA from 17 species
CUAUACAAUCUCCUAGCUUUCC